AUUUUUUUUUUGUUUACACGUAUCAGUAUAAGGAAAAUAUCUGAUCUGUUCACGAUGAAAGUUUCUUACCUCUACCAUAACUUAAAUAAAAUAUCUCACAUUGGAUGGAGACUUAGCAAUAUAUAAGAUGAGUCAUCUGUGAACGGCUCAUAGUAAAGCACUUGGCAUCUCUCGCGCAGCUGAACGUAAAGCCUGGUUCUCGCGCCAUGCUGUGAGGUCGAUCUUAUGUCGUCGAGAUCAGGAUAGUGUGCAGUUAUGACACAGACUUGGUCGCUGCUCUGUAGCACGUGACCUAAUCUGAUCCAGUGUGGGUCGUAGGGUUCGAGUCUUGAUUAACUACGGUCGAGCGCUGGCGCUUGGUCUUUUUUUCUUCCUCUCGCGCAGCACUACCGCUCCGCCUCCUCAACGCGCAACUUUGACGCUGUGCAUAAAUACUGGAACAAAAGAACUUCCUCGAUACCUUGUGAAACGGCAGUAAAUAAGAUCAAACUGUUAUGCGAACUGAAAUUAACAUGCAAACUUGCCAGGAAAGGUAUUCAUUAGAACACCUCCCUAGAGUCAAACGAUAUCUUCAUACACAUCUUAAUUCUUCCCCCGAGCGCUUUGGGUAAGUGCCAUUCAUAUUGACUCUUGAGGUAGCUGCUGAUCUCUUCGCAGUGUAAAUGGACAUAGCUGUUUUAGUUUUUUUUUUUUUAGCAUUUUCUGAGGUAUUAGAUUUCCUGUGGUAGAACAAGAAUGAAUGAGGAAAUUGAAAUGUGUUUUUGUUAAAGCAACACGAUUGGCAACCUCGGGACUAUCGGCGUCGAACUGUUGUUGAAAAGUUUUUGCUCUUAACUGGAUCCCGGUCUUCACAACAUGUUGUUAAUGUUCUAAAAAGUUUUUAAAUUAUUGCGUUCCAUGAAUCAAGGAAGUUGUACAUAGAAAGACACUGUAUGAAAAACAGCAACAACAACAAAACUGCAUGUCAAAAGUUCAGCAACAAUUGCUAUGCAUAAGUUACCGGCUGUCUUCGAGAUACGUCGUGUUAUUUUAAAGUGUCUAACAGUUUUGGUUUAGAACCGUAUUAAACUACUCAGUUUUUUUUUGUGUUGUUCAUUAAUGAUUACAGGAGGUCCAUAACGUGUACAACGAGUUUUCUUGAGUAGUCUUUUGUCGUGUUGAUCUUCUCAUGCAGUGAACAAAGAAGCGCGUAGCAAAGGCUCGGCACCCGUGGAAAGUAAGCACCCUGUUUACAAAAAUAACACUAGUUUCAUGACGUUCAAAGACUGACAGAGCGCUGCGCCAAUGGCGUGCCACGGUUGCUUCGGUAAACGUGACAUCAUCGGAGGACUGCCAUUGAGGGGCGGGACAUCCGUGACGCGAUUGUCUGGACUUGCCUGCAGUACGCUUUGUUAUUACUUUCCCCGGUGAUAAAAUAUACAAAACCUGUCACGGAUCAAAACCACAGUCUAUCAUCAAAACAAGAAGCAUGUUCUUUCAGCAUUUUAAAAGCAUAGAGAAAAUAAUAUUAUAUGUAUUUACAAUGAAAGGUUAAUGAAUGAGCUGUAGUGGUUAAUACAUGUAAAGUUUAAUAAUUGUGGGGAAGGAGAAUUUUCGUUUACACGUUUACACGAUUUUAAUUAAUAUAAUACUAAGUGAUUUCAUUAAUAAGUCUAGAGUUGAACGAAUGAAAAUAAAGGAGAAGAGCGAGUCUUAACUGUGUGACUGAUGAUAAUUUUAAUGUUGUGGUUGUUGGUACUGUUCAGAUGAUUAGUCAACUAUUGUGAAGGAAAGGAAGGAAAAUAAUACAAUUUAUAGUAUCUUAUGACAUGCUUCAGCCAAUACAAUGAGGUUUUGUUGCAGUUAGCAAUAGACUAAGGUAAACAACGGAUCUGUUAGGCUAUAUCACAUGGCUGAAUGAUAAAUUGAACAGAGCAAUAAUAAUGGCCAGUCACGUUCAAUAUAUCCAGCAUUAAUGUCUAGAUCCAGAAACUUACUAAGUGACAUGCAAAGGAGUAGGCAUAAAAUCGUCCAUUAAGGUUUUCACUUCAAAAGAAGUUCAUUAGGUGUACACAUAUUUAGUUGUAGCGUUCUAGCCAUCCAUUAUGGAUAAGUAUAAAACAGUUUGUUCUUUCAGACACACUUCCUGUUCUCUAUCUUCAAAAUAAAAUGAGUCAGUUCCUUUUCCCCAUGUGGACAUCCAUUUACACCCAAUACAAUUAAAUACACAUUUAGUUGUGCUGGCCUGUGUAUAAGCACCCAAGAUAUUUCAUGCUUUAAUUAUGCCAGCAGUGUCAUAUGAGUUCAUGUGGGUGUGUCUAAAAAUAAGAAAUAUGCUUGAUGCAAUGAUGCCACCCAAUUAUUAUAACUAAGAGGUGGGUAGUUUAUGACUGUAUAAUAAAGGCAUCAUGCUUUCUUUAGCAAAAACACUAGACGGCCUUUGUCUUGGUGUUUACAGUUGCAGCUAAUGCCUGCAAAAUAGGGCUGAGGUUUAGAAAGCAAUAGUCACAUAGCCACCAGAUACUCAGUUGCUGGUCAAAUAGCUACAAAACGGUGCCAAAUUUUACAAGUCAUUAUCCGAAUGAUGCAGUCGGCAGUAAUCAGAAAGGGGCGGAUUUGACAGAUGGAGCGCAGUUUCUUUCUUCUCCCAAUCAGCCUUCAAGCUGCUGGUGGUGUGAGUGACGCAGCUUCAGUUGCUCGCGCUGUCUACUGUAGUAAAAAACAAGCUCUGUUGUCAAGCUACUUGCAGUGUGGCCGUUUGACUCGUCUACGUCGAGAACGUCGACUGACGUUUAGUUCUUUUAACGCAUCCAUCUUUUUUUCGAGUAACUGUAAAUGUAACUGUAAAUGCACCUUCAAAAUCGGUCACAGAGAACGCAAUCACGACCGCUAAUACCCUGUUUUGUUUCCCUCUUGAAUUCCCCAAUGAUGUUAAAUGAAAAAGCUCCCUCGCUUUGUGACACAUGCUCGCACCAGAAAAGCAGAUAUUCCAGCAGACGACGAUACAUUUCAUGUUCAUUGUAGCGUUAAAGCAACAGCGUUUUAACGUUGAUAGGUUUCUCUUUUAAACUAGUGAAAUCUUUAAGCUAUGCAUCAUAUACAACCUCGCACGUUCGCCUGAAACUAUCAAUUAUCGCUAUUUCAAACACCGACUGGAAGAGCUACAGUUUACCCGUGUUUAGGAUAUUGUGCGUGGGCUCUGGGUUGCUAGCCGGUUUGAGGGUGCAUUUUGUCUCGACCAAUCCUGCGAGGUGCUCUAGGUCCCGGCAUGCCCAAUGCGGGCAGGGGGAGGCUCCGGCCAAUUUGAAUGAAGACUCGAGCUUUCGGCGCCAUUUUCGAGUGAGCAGCUCCAGCAACAACAGCUGCACGGAGAGCUCCGCACCGGAGUCCUGUAAUUUGAAUGAGGGGACACUAUUUUCUUUUUGAUACCAGAGAACAAAUAUAUGUUUUUUUUAAUAUUCGACCACAAAUUUGAGCCGUCUGUUUUCCGGUGGAUGAAUGCGAUGGACACAAAGGAUGUCCACAAAGGAUGUGGUGACAACAAAUAGUGAAGUGGAGACUGAAGUGAGCUAGGAGGCUAAUCCGGCUAGCAUCUCCAGCCGAGAAUGGGCGUCCGAUCGGAGCCGCGCUUUGGAAACGAUAUAUUUUUGUAUUAUUUUUCGAAAAAAUCUAACAAAUAUGCGGAUUACUUGAAAAUUCUUGAAAAAAAUCGGAAAAUUAUUACAGGGGACGACGAAUAGAUCGGUGUGGGUUGUUUGGUGGAGCGAGGUGGUUUUGUGCAUUUUUUAAACGUUAAGUUUGAGCGGGAUUGGUGAUGUGCGCGAGACGGCCGGCGAGCCCGACAGCCUAUCAGCGAGCGAGACACCGGGAUGCCACACCGACCGACUCUCUCCUGUUCUUUACUACAGUUUUUGUUCCUCUUUCUACAAGAAAGCAACGAUGACCAAAGUGCCCUUUAUUUCUUCCGUUUCUUUUUUCUUUUUUUGCUGCACGAACUGUAUCUGAGUGCACCGUCAGAAUAUGAAACCGUAACUUUUUGUUUCUAAUUUUUUGUGGAUUUACAAUAUCACAAAUGUUCAGGUGUUUUAGUUUUUCUUCCCAGGAGUUGAUCCUGCCUGGGACCGUAGGGAAACCCCCACAAAAUUUGCCUGGUUGUGACAUCAGAAACCUUGAAAACAAUUGAAGAUGGAGCCCUGGAAUGCCUCAAGCCCUGCUGAGAGAGAGAGAGAGGAGAGAGGAGUCACUCGCUCUGUGAUUCUGGCAGUGCUUGGUCAUGUUGCCGAGAGUGUGAGUGUGUGAAAGAGAGAGAGGGACCCUUUCUAGGUGAUGGUGUAGCAGCACAGAAUGGUUUGUGGUGAUACAGAGAUACAGGCCGUGAUGUGCUGCAGCAUCAAUUCCUGGGACAUACGCAGUCGAGAGCGAGAGAAGAGAAAGAUUGUGGGUGUGUGAAUGUGUGUGUUUUGCUUUAGCAGCAUGUAAAUAUUGGAGUUACUCCUUGGCCAAAGCCUCCAAUAUUGCUCGUGCUGCUGAAGCAAGAAGUCACCAAGCAGCACAUGCACGUCAUCAUUUUAGGGCCUAGCUGGGACAGGUAGAGUCUGACUCUGGUGCUGAAAUCAUCAAAUCAACAGAAGUCAGGAGGACCCUCAGUCCAAUGAUUAAAGGUAAAAUAGAUGCAGUACUUUGUUUUGUUUGGGAAGUAAAGUAGCUUUUUUAAAUGAAUGUUUUUUCUUAAUGUUUAUACAAAAGUUUGCUUUUUACUGUUUGUUUUCUUCAAUAUGUAAAAAUAUAAAUUUAUACGUAUCUAUUUUUUCAAUCGUCUGUUUUGUUUUAUUUUUUAAUAAAUAUUCUGAAUGAAGUUGUUAUUCAACUAAACGUGCUGUUACUUUUUGUGUUUGUGAAAAUGAAUAAUAAAAUUGGGGGGAAAAAAACUGGUCUGACAUGUCGCAUACUCAUUUGAAACUUAGCGCAUCUUUUGUCGAUGUAUACGUUGUUAAGCUUUAGUUUUCAACACUUUCCACUGGGAACGCAGCUUUUGUUCACGAGAUCUCGUCUUUGAUGUCGCUUUUCCUCUUUAUUGUGUUUGAAUACGGUUUUUUUUCUGGUUGAACCCGUAUAACGUUAAGUGCAUUAAUGUCUUUUUGUCCCCAAGUUUUCCUAAUUUCCGUUGAGUACACUGAGACCACAAAACUGACUCAAAAUAGACUUUUUAUUUCCCCCAGUAGUAACAAAUUAAAAAAAUAGUUUUUGCAAUUUAUAUGUGAAUUAUUACACUGGUUAAAAUUAAAAGCAUAUUAAUAUUAGAGACCAAAGAGAGGUUACCGAACGGCGCAUGCGUACAGUAUUGAUCUUGUAUAACAUCAGUUAAAACGCUUAUCAUGCAGCGAAGUUCUGACGUGGGCAAGUUUUUUUUUUUUUUAUAUAUUUUUUUUUUUAUUUUUUUUUCCUCCAGAUUUCCCGUUGUUUGUAAAUGACGUAUCAUUUCAUGCUAACAGUACAAGUCACUUAGUAUAUAACCUUACAUGACAGUGCUUGUAUAAAAUAAUAUCAUUUUUUUGUGAAAUUUCACACGAAGUUCUGUCGGCCUAAAAUAAUAGCCUUCUAUAAGGGGUUUAAAAAACAUAUCACUGAAUUAAUUUCCGCCAUUUUAUGAAAAAUAAAAAAGACAUUUAUGAAAAGGCCAGCUAAAUCAUGUAUAGCAGCCAAGCACAUAGCUUAUAACCACCAUUCGGGCUCGUUUUUUUGCCGUGUCCUUGUAUUCUGAGAAAUUAUAAUUAUUCUUGUAUGAUUUUAUCAAGGUCAAAUGAAUUAGGAAAACUUUGAGGAGUUUUGUAAGGGACCUCUUUACACGCAGAAAAGCGUGUGUGGUUUUUCAUGGCUGAAUGCUGCGUUUGCCUGAUUUUAAUCACAUUUUGUAUCCUUGACAAUAAUGAAAAUCAUCUAUUUUUUUUUUCUUUUUUGAUGUUUAAUUGACCAGCACUUAAACAGUUGUUGCCUUUAACUCGUAACACAAUCACUUGUGACACACGUCGAUUUAAUCUUCUGACGCUUCGUUUCAGUCAUAUGAUGCUUUUAGACUUGAUCUAAAGAUGCUCCGCGCAGCUUACAUAAUACAGCAACAGUGCACAGUUUCAUAGAGCUGAUUUUAAUCUAUUAUUUGGUAAUGUCAAAACAUGCACAUUUUAUUAAUUUAAUGGAAAAACUUUUCAAGAUGAAAUGGUUCAUUGUCCAGUGCGCAUUGUCCAGGUAAAAUUGUCUUGACAUUUCUUUAGUCUAUUUCUUUUUUUUAAGCAAAUAGAUAAUUUAAUGUUGAAGACUGUGAUUUUCUAAGCGCCUUUUUUAAUUAUGAAAUACUUUUUUUUUUUUUUAUCAGAACCCAAAUAUUUUUUCGGCGCUCACUUAUUUUGUUGUAGGCCUAUUUGAUGCUUUGAGAAGUGCUCAUGUCAUUUUACAUGGCUGUGAAAAAUAUGUAGGCUGUUUAAUGUAGAUUUACUCUUAGGCAGAUAUUUAAAUAAAAUUUGCUUAAUUUAAUUGUGAAUAGACUGUUUUUGACAUGACCGUUAGACCUAAUGGUCGUCGCUUGUUUGGACAGAAGUUUUAAGUGAAAAAAUGCCGUCUAUUUAUUUUAAGUGUUUUAGUGUGUUAAUGUCGGGGAAAUUUAGACCGGUCCAAAUAAUUCUCCUUCGUAUAUUGCAGCUAUCGAAAUUUUCUCUGCAUGCAGCAGCUGAUCGUCACGUCCCCUUUUAUUUCUAUAGACAAAACAAUGAGAUGUAAGUCUCAAAUCCUUACGGACAGUGGGUAUAUGCAAAAGGUUAGCAUGUAAUUUUGUGUGUGUGUGUGUGUAUAUAUAUAUAUGUAUAUAUGUAUGUAUAUAUAUAUAUAUAUAUAUAUAUAUAUAUAUAUAAUUAUAACUUAUUUUUCCUUCUUGACAACACUAACACGUUGUCUGGGAGUUUUGGGCAUUUGUAGUUAUACUUCUCAUUAUGUUCCGAACUAAUGGUGCAUCAAUCAACUUAAAAAAAUAAAAAAUAAAACAGGAGAAAAUGGCAAUGCAACGUGCUACUUUUCGGUGUAGUCACUUCAUUCAAGAGACACGAGUAGGCUAUUGACAAAACCAAUUACUAAAGCAAUUCCAUCAUUAGUCAUUAGAAACAUUAAACGCAAAGAAAAAGACACGUUUAAACGUGUGCUGACGUGACUGCCUAAGGCAUACUGGUGUAACAUAGAUAUGUGAUAAAGUGAAGAUAUAGUGUCGUUAUUUAAACACACAACGUUACAUUUGUUUAAAAAGAAACAAAAAAAAUCGAAGAAUUGGAAUUACAUAAAACAUGGCACCAUUUCAGAAUGAGCUUCCUAUUUGUCAGCAAUGUGUUCUGUAGGCUUCAGAAAAUAAAUGUAUAUGAAUUAAUACAUUUGUUAUUCAAUUAAGGUUAUGAAAUUUAUGUAAGUUUUUAUUUUGUAAAGUAGGUUAAAGUAGGUAAUUUCACUUUUCAUCCCUCAGUUCGCCUGGCAACAGUCGGCUAAAUAUAUGUUCGGUGACGUGCGCAGGGCUCCGGUGGUGACGUCAUGAGUCGUCCGAGAAUCUCGUAGGACUCCUGUUUAAACAGAGGAUACCUUCCCUUUUUCUCUAAAGAGUCCUGACUUUGUGUUUAACAGUGCACAUCUCAUGUCUCUCGGGUGAAACUGUAAACGUUACAAAGACGAGCUCUUAUUUGUUUUAAUAAAAAUAUGAAAUUGUGUGUGUGUAUGUAUAUAUGUAUGUGUGUAUAUAUAUAUAUAUAUAAAAUUCCCCCAUAAAACACGAAACCAUUCGCCCUUAAAACACGAAACCAUUGGCCAAUGAUGCUCAGAUAUUGUUUUUUCUUCCUUCGGCACAAAUCAUUUCAGAACUUUCUCUUGAUGACAAACGUAAUCGCAACAUUUAAGCUAUAUUAUCGCAAUGACAUGUAUGCAACAACAGCAAACAAAUAGCAGUGUGCCAGUUAAUUCUGAGUGAUGCUGAAAUAAAUAAAUAACUGAAUAACUACAUUUACUGUCCUGGUGCGACACUGACAUUCAGUUGCGUAACGUUUAACCUUGAGUCUCCUGAUAACUUGCACAGAGAAGAUAAACGAUAUC